GAUGAACGCUGGCGGCGUGCCUAACACAUGCAAGUCGAACGAAGCACCUUACCUGAUUCUUCGGAUGAAAGUUUGGUGACUGAGUGGCGGACGGGUGAGUAACGCGUGGGUAACCUGCCCUGUACAGGGGGAUAACAGCUGGAAACGGCUGCUAAUACCGCAUACGCGCACGAGGAGACAUCUCCUUGUGUGAAAAACUCCGGUGGUACAGGAUGGGCCCGCGUCUGAUUAGCUGGUUGGCAGGGUAACGGCCUACCAAGGCAACGAUCAGUAGCCGGUCUGAGAGGAUGAACGGCCACAUUGGAACUGAGACACGGUCCAAACUCCUACGGGAGGCAGCAGUGGGGAAUAUUGCACAAUGGGGGAAACCCUGAUGCAGCAACGCCGCGUGAGUGAAGAAGUAUUUCGGUAUGUAAAGCUCUAUCAGCAGGGAAGAUAAUGACGGUACCUGACUAAGAAGCUCCGGCUAAAUACGUG
rnacentral:rRNA from 1 species